UACGUAGGUGGCAAGCGUUGUCCGGAUUUAUUGGGCUUAAAGGGUGCGUAGGCGGCUUUGUAAGUCAGUGGUGAAAUAUGGCAGCUUAACUGUCAGGGUGCCAUUGAUACUGCAGAGCUUGAGUACAGAUGAGGUAGGCGGAAUUGACGGUGUAGCGGUGAAAUGCUUAGAUAUCGUCAAGAACACCUAUAGCGAAGGCAGCUUACUAGGCUGUAACUGACGCUGAGGCACGAAAGUGUGGGGAUCAAACAGG
rnacentral:rRNA from 1 species